rnacentral:rRNA from 1 species
AUGAGUGAACCUCAUUUCACGCAACAAGAUUGGCCAACAUUGAGCCCGACUCCAAACAACCAAAUUGAAGCUUUUGAAGAGGAGAAUGAUGACUACAAGGAGGAUGACAACGAAGUUGAUCUCCAUGACAACAAUGUGGGUGAUCUCGACCAAUAUCAUGUGCAAGAGACAAUUGACCAAUCCAUCCCUUUUUCCCGUGCAUAUGCAUCGGACUCGGAUGACGAUGGUCCCGAUGAAGAAGGUGAUGAGGAGGGGUUCACGCCGAAGGAGGCCCAAGCAUUCAAGAAGGUAUUCGGGCGGGAUCACAAGACACCAUUGUUCAAGGAUCUUAGUCUCGCGGAUGAAGCCGUUAUGGAUGGUGGUAAAUGCAUAUCUCUUGGAGCUAGGCCAAGUUCUCACCCUGAUUUGGAAGAUGGCAAGAACGGGAUAUAUCCCGGUUGUGAGUUUCAAUCCUUCUUGGAAUUGAAGAUGUGGCUCGACAACUACUCGGUUACGCAUUAUCGUCCACAUAAAGUGGCCAACUCGGACGUCAAUGUGCGUUACACGGUUAAAUGUGAAGUGCCAAGAUGUCCAUGGAUUGUGCGUGCAAGGCCAUGGAAAGGAGGUCCCACUUGGCGCAUAGUGAGUUGUACGCCAAGUCACAUGUGCUGA